GACGAACGCUGGCGGCGUGCUUAACACAUGCAAGUCGAACGGACAGGCCCUGCUUUUGUGGGGUGCUCGAGUGGCGAACGGGUGAGUAACACGUGAGUAACCUGCCCUUGACUUUGGGAUAACUUCAGGAAACUGGGGCUAAUACCGGAUAGGAUCUCCUGCUGCAUGGUGGGGGUUGGAAAGUUUCGGCGGUUGGGGAUGGACUCGCGGCUUAUCGGCUUGUUGGUGAGGUAGUGGCUUACCAAGGCUUUGACGGGUAGCCGGCCUGAGAGGGUGACCGGCGACAAUAGGACUGAGGUACGGACCAGAAGCCUACGGGAGGCAGCGGGCGAGAAUAUGGCACAACGGGCGGAAGCGAGAGACGGCAACGCCGCGUGCGGGAUGACGGCCUUCGGGGUGUAAACCGCUGUCGCCGGAGACGAAGCGUGAGUGACGGUAAUGGGUAAAGAAGCACCGGCUAACUACGUG
rnacentral:rRNA from 1 species